GGCUAACUCCGUGCCAGCAGCCGCGGUAAUACGGAGGGUGCAAGCGUUAAUCGGAAUUACUGGGCGUAAAGCCCACAAAGGCGGUCUGUCAAGUCGGAUGUGAAAUCCCCGGGCUCAACCUGGGAACUGCAUUCGAAACUGGCAGGCUAGAGUCUUGUAGAGGGGGGUAGAAUUCCAGGUGUAGCGGUGA
rnacentral:rRNA from 1 species